rnacentral:rRNA from 1 species
AACGAACGCUUGCUGCAUGCUUUAUACAUGCAAGUCGAACGAAGGCCCUAGCUUGCUAGGUGUCCUUAGUGGCGCACGGGUGAGUAACACGUGGGAACAUACCUUAUAGUACGGAAUAACUGCGGGAAACUGUAGCUAAUACCGUGUAUUCCAGAAAUGGGAAAGAUUUAUCGCUAUAAGAUUGGCCCGCGCAAGAUUAGCUUGUUGGUGAGGUAAAAGCUCACCAAGGCUUCGAUCUUUAGCUGGUUUGAGAGGAUGAUCAGCCACACUGGGACUGAGACACGGCCCAGACUCCUACGGGAGGCAGCAGUAGGGAAUAUUGGACAAUGGGGGCAACCCCUGAUCCAGCAAUGCAGCGUGAGUGACGAAGGCCUUAGGGUUGUAAAACUCUUUCAUCGGUGAGGAUAAUGACAGUAGCCGAAGAAGAAGGACCGGCUAAUUCCGUGCCAGCAGCCGCGGUAAUACGGAAGGUCCUAGCGUUGUUCGGAAUUACUGGGCGUAAAGCGCAUGUAGGCGGAACAGAAAGUUAGAAGUGAAAUCCCUGGGCUCAACCUAGGAAUUGCUUUUAAAACUUCUGUUCUGGAAUUCAGGAGAGGAAAAUGGAAUUUCCAGUGUAGAGGUGAAAUUCGUAGAUAUUGGAAGGAACACCAGUGGCGAAGGCGAUUUUCUGGACUGAUAUUGACGCUGAGAUGCGAAGGCAUGGGUAGCAAACGGGAUUAGAUACCCCGGUAGUCCAUGCAGUAAACGAUGGGUGCUAGUCGUCGGACUUUUGUUCGGUGUCGUAGCUAACGCGUUAAGCACCCCGCCUGGGGAGUACGGUCGCAAGAUUA